rnacentral:rRNA from 1 species
CCGGCCCGGACACCGUGAGGAUUGACAGAUUGAGAGCUCUUUCUUGAUUCGGUGGAUGGUGGUGCAUGGCCGUUCUUAGUUGGUGGAGCGAUUUGUCUGGUUAAUUCCGUUAACGAACGAGACUCUAGCCUAUUAAAUAGUUCACCGCCCGCCAAUGGGAGUGGUGAAAACUUCUUAGAGGGACAAGCGGCGCUCAGCCGCACGAGACAGAGCAAUAACAGGUCUGUGAUGCCCUUAGAUGUUCGGGGCCGCACGCGCGCUACACUGAUAGAGUCAGAGGGCCUAGUACCUGUCGGACACGGCCGGUUAACCCGAUAGAACCUCUAUCGUGCUAGGGACUGGGGCUUGAAAUUCUUCCCCAUGAACGAGGAAUUCCCAGUAAGUGUGAGUCAUCAGCUCACGUUGAUUACGUCCCUGCCCUUUGUACACACCGCCCGUCGCUACUACCGAUUGAAUGGUUUAGUGAGGCCCUCGGACGCCCCCCGGGCCGGCAGACUCUGUCGGUCGCCAGGUGCGCGGCGAAAGACGGUCGAACUUGAUCAUUUAGAGGAAGUAAAAGUCGUAACAAGGUUUCC